rnacentral:rRNA from 1 species
GACGAACGCUGGCGGCGCGCUUAACACAUGCAAGUCGAACGGAAAGGCCUGCUUUCCCUUGUGGUUUGCGGGUACUCGAGUGGCGAACGGGUGAGUAACACGUGAGUUAUCUGCCCCCAACUUGGGUAUAAGCCUGGGAAACUGGGUCUAAUUCCCGAUAGGACUGCAGGGUGGUGCCUGUGGUGGAAAACGAUUUUCUAGUGGUUGGGGAUGAGCUCGCGGCCUAUCAGCUUGUUGGUGGGGUAAUGGCCUACCAAGGCGGCGACGGGUAGCCGGCCUGGGAGGGGGGACGGCCACAUUGGGACUGAGACACGGCCCAGACUCCUACGGGAGGCAGCAGUGGGGAAUAAUGGACAAUGGGCGGAAGCCUGAUGCAGCGACGCCGCGUGGGGGAUGACGGCCUUCGGGUUGUAAACUCCUUUCGACCGCGAGGAAGCCACCUGGUUGGAAGGGUGGUGACGGUAGUGGUAGAAGAAGCACCGGCUAACUACGUG